AUUGAACGCUAGCGGGAUGCUUUACACAUGCAAGUCGAAUGAGUGGCGGACGGGUGAGUAAUAUAUCGGAACGUGCCUAGUAGCGGGGGAUAACUACUCGAAAGAGUGGCUAAUCCCGCAUACUAUUGGAGCGGCGGUUAGCGGAUUAGCUAGGUGGUGGGGUAAAGGCGCACCAAGGCAACGAUCCGUAGCUGGUGUGAGCGGCAGACCAGCCACACUGGUACUGAGACACGGCCCAGACUCCUACGGGAGGAAGCAGUGGGGAAUUUUGGACAAGGGGGGAAACCCUGAUCCAGCCAUCCCGCGUGUAUGAGAAGGCCUUCGGGUUGUAAAGUACUUUUGGCAGAGAAGCGGUAUCUGCAGAAUAAGCCCCGGCUAACUACGUGCCAGCAGCCGCGGUAAUAC
rnacentral:rRNA from 1 species